GCCUCCCGUGCCUACUGAGCUGAAACACAGUUGGUUUGAUCGCACUGGCUCAGUUCAGCAGGAACAGGGGU
rnacentral:pre_miRNA from 1 species